CCGGUGGGUGGAACCAAGAGAGCCUCUCCAGGGAGCAGCGUGCGCAGUCCAGAAGGCUGCAGUAUUUCCUCCAAGAAAAAAAAAAAAAAAAAAAAAGCUGCUUCAGCCCCUGCUGCAAGCAAAGUUGCGAUUCCCUCUGCUGGCUAUCUCGAAUAGCAAAGCGAAUUUUGCAGCAAAGCUGCCGCCGCUGGAACUCUGAAGAACUCCAAUGCGGGCGGCGGGUGAUUGCUUAGCCUCCCCUCCAUCUGCCCUGCUCCAGAGCUGCCUCUUUUCUUUGCUUGCCAAGUUCCAAGAUGGCCACAACAACCAGGGCUAGAAUAGGCUGAAACCAGGAGUCCAACCUUCAUCGAGGUCUCCCAUAGGGGUGGCAAGGACCCAAGUACUCGAGCCAUCUUCCAUUGCCUUCCCAGAUCCAGUGGGAAAGAGGAGCAAAAGCUUUUCAGGAUUAGCAGUGUGGCAUCUGCUAAUGUGUGUGCUGCAGGGAGCGGCAGCAAAGACUCCGUCCCUCAAACUGUCCUUUGUGGGGUGUGGGGUGGGGACCCUGGGACCCCAUGUCUCCAAAACAGGAUGUCCAGCCCAGAGAUGCAUUUAUAAUAUUCCUCCCUCCGGGGUGGCCAACACCGAGGUCCCAGUCCAAAAAAAAGGGCAAGUGGAAAGGUACAGGAACAGGGGAAAGCCAGUCUGUUCGCCCAGUAGGAUGGAUUCCCCUAAACCAUGAUCUGUGUGAGCUGCCUUAUUCUUUGUCUCCCUGAGUAGGGGACAAUGCUCGGGUUCCUAAUGCUUACAGACUAAGACUUCUUGGCCAAAUGUCUCCCUCUGCAGGGAAGGGUAGAGCUGUUUCCAGGGGCCGGGGACCCUGGCUUUAAAUGGACCUGCAGAUUCUAGGAUUCUGAUGUGCAGUCACCAUCAAGUAGCUAUUAAACACCUGGCCAGCUCCAGCUUAUUUGUUUUUGCUACAAACCCUGAGAAUUAGCUCAUUUUCUUGGUAAAGAAGCAAGGCUUGUUUCAAGGCUCCUAGAAGAAUCGCACAACAUCGUUGCUUGAGUUCAUUAUAGAGGUUUCUAUCCAUUAUGAGCAGGCAUAAAUAUAUUGGAUUCAAUAUGCUUGGUUUGGGAAAUCUCUUUUUGUCAGUUCCAGUAUAACCAAUUGUGCAUUAUACCAUGUCCUUGCUAAGAGUAGCCGAUGUAGAAAUACUUAACCUCCCAUCCAUAAACAUUUCUUUACCUGCAGAGCGCGAAAAGCUGAGCUUUUCAAGGCCUUAAUGUUAUCUAUUUUCCUGUGAAGGGAUAUGAUUUUUAUACCAGGUACAGUUUUCCUGUAGCUUUUUUUUCCCCACAUGUCUGCCUUUUAAAUGACCCCCUGAAGCUAAGAUCCUGACCACUUGGCCCUUGGUAAAUAUCUGGUGAUCCUCUUCCCCAACAGAUGGGAAGGGCCUCCCAAUACGCCCCUGGCCUCAUUUCAAUUUGGGUAAUUGCAUUCUGUCGACUUGAAAUUUCCCCACCAGCUUCCUCUGCCUGGGAUGCGAUGUGUCUUCCUCAGUUCUCAGCGGCCCGGCAGGCCGUUGGAGACUGGGGAACAGCUGGUGCAUUCCACCCCAGAAGUGGAUGUGUUUUAGCGGCAGGUGCAAAGGUUUUCUUCUGUCGAACACAAAUUCCAACCUAGGAAGAAGCUUUGUGGGUGCUUUUUAUUUGAGCCAUGAAUAAAAGUAAGUACCAGAAAAACCAGAAAUACAAAAAUAUCCGAAGCAUAAAUAUGAAUUGGGAGGAAAAGACACUUUCACCAAAGCCAGGCUAAUGUGUAAUCUUUUUGCAAUCCAUGAAUCUUAACAUGCUUCUAGAUUUGAGUUUUGAUAUUAAGGAUAAAUUGUUCACUUGAAACGGGCAACCUUUGUCUUCUGCAAGAAAGAAUUAUACACACACAAGCACACACACAUAUACACGUAAACAUACACACACUAUACAAACAUAACACACGUACAUGUAUAUACACACGUGUGUGUACAUGUCCUCUGAGAGUGUUCCUCAUUAUGGAAUAAAAAUAGCUUUCACGUAAUUGGGCAUUUAAUGUGUACCUCCAUGAGAAUAUGUGCAAAGAGUACUUUAAACAUUUAAAGGAAAAAUGGAAUUAAAAGAUAGGUUUAUCUUGUUUAGACAAGCUCAUAGUCAAAGUGGAGGUUCUCUCCUCCCUUCAGAGAAAGGUACCUCCUUCUUUGAAGACCUGUUCUUUCCACUGGGAUCUCACUCACAGAGAUCUUUUGCCAGAGUGUCUUGGCUUUCCAUGCCUGAAAUACUCUCAUGGGCUUUUCAGCCAGAUCCAAGUGCCUUUAGGGCUGAUUCUGAGGCCAGAGUGCUAUUUAGCACAUCCGCCAUUCUAUGAGUCUGCUGAGUAUCUCACUUCCCAUGUUGGAUCACUCUCCCCUUUAUUUAUUCUAUCGGUUAGUGUUAGCAGGUACUAGACUUGUUUAUGUGCUCCCUUUGACUCUUAGUCCUUUCAUUAUGAUCAAUUGUGAACUGAAAUUGAUCACUUGGAAUAGUGAGAUGGCAUUGGUACAUGCCACCUUGAUGGGAUUGAAUUGGAAUCCCCUGGUAUGUUUCUAACUCUACCAUUUGGGGCAAGUCAGCUUGAGCAUGUCCCAAAUUAUACAUCUCUUCCCUCUCUUAUUCCCACUCUUAUGUUUAACAGGGAUCACAUUUCAGUUAAUUUUCAACACUUAAGAAUAACUGUGUAUUAAUUACAGAAUUAAACCAGUCAUAUUAAGUAGAACAGACAAAAAAACUACUAAGAGGGAUAAUGUAUUAAGUUGUUCAUUAACAAUCAGGGCUAUGCUGAUCAAGUCACCAUUUCCCAUAGUGUCCAUUUCACUUCAACAGGUUUCCUUUUUGGUGUUCAGUCAGUUGUUACCGAUCAGGGAGAACAUAUGGUAUUUGUCCCUUUGGGACUGGCUUAUUUCACUCAGCAUGAUGUGUUCCAGAUUCCUCCAUUUUUGUUGACUAUGACCUUGUCUAAACAAGAUAAGAAUCGGAGAACUCAGAGGGCUUCCAUAGCCUUGGAAACUCAUGACUGGAGCAUAGGGAGAAUACUGAUGCCAUAGACAGGAGUGUCAUUUGGUAAAGUCAACAACAGGAGUCACUGUGCACUUACUCCUCAUGUAGGAUCUCUGUCCUUAAUGUGCUGUGCAUUGAGAUUUAAUGCUAUAACGAGUACUCAAGCAAUAUAUUUCACUUUGUGUUUCUAUGGGGGUGCAAACUGUUGAAAUCUUUACUUAAUGCAUACUAAAGUGAUCCUCUAAAAAAAAGAAAUUAUCAAUUCCCAACUUGACUCUCACUGGGAUUAAACAUGACAAUAGGUCUGAUCUGAUUUCAUCAUCAUUUAAAAAAAUCAUCUAUUAUUUUUCACUUUAUGUUUCUGUGUGGGAGCAAACUGUUGAAAUCCUUACUUAAUGUAUACUAAGCUGAUCUUCUGUAUAUUAAGAUAAUCGAAAAUGAAUCUUGAUGUGAAUGGAAGGGGAGAGGGAGUGGGAAAGGGGAGGGUUGUGGGUGGGAGGGACGGUAUGGGGGGGAAGCCAUUGUAAUCCAUAAAUCGUACUUUGGAAAUUUAUAUUCAUUAAAUAAAAGUUAAAAAAAAGAUAGGUUUAUGUUGUUGCAAAACUUUCUGAAAUCUAUGCAAAAUAUUUUUAUUAUACAUAUUUUCACAAAUUUUUGAAGACUCUGUCGUAACAUAUUUAAUUGAAAUGAGCUUAUCUUCUACAUCAAGCGGGAAUCUUAGAAGGGAUCCUAACUACUUGUCAUUCCUUAUCUCCUAUAAUGUGUAAAAAGGUAGCUGAUGAAAGAAUUGAAAUACUGACUUAAAAAGUCAAACUAAUUCAUCUCAAACUCUGACCCCCAAAAUACUGUUUCCAAGGGCUGUAAGCCCCUCAUCUCAACUCUUGGGAAUAUUUCCAUGGAAGCAGAGAUCCACCUUGCAUAGAGGGCCCUGACAAAGCAAAUGCAAAACAGGUGUGCCAUUCUUCCCCAGGGCUCUCCCAGAGGUGGCUUCCACAGGUGCCGGACGGCUGUGCACAUCCGAGCAGCCUGGAUGUACGGAGAGAUGGCACCAAAGCAUGAAAUAGGAGCAGGAGAGGGUCGCAAGACAUUAGCAGCAAUUCCAGCCAGGCUAUUCUAGCCCACCAACAUCAGAAGUAACCAACAUCAGAAGCUCUUCUCCAGCAGAGUUUCCCUCAGAUUCUACUGGACAGGACUGGCCACAUGCAACUACCUAAAUCACUCACUGACUGUGGAAGUCAAUUGUGGCAAUUGGCUGGGACUGCACAAGCCCCACCACCUCUGAGUCUGGCAGAAAGACCACCUUCUCAGAGCGAGUGACUACAUGUGUCUGAGGAGUGGCAGGUACAGUAGAAUAAAAUCGGAGCCCUCCAGGAAAGAAAGAGAAUUCAAGGAAAAUUAAUUUGGGUAAGAUCUUCAUUUUCAAGGAUGAGCUGCAUAUGUUGAAAGCUGAACUGCACCUAUUUUUAUUAUAAAUGAGAAAGUAAAAGAGUGGGCAUUUAGCUUAGCUGUUUAAGAUGCCCACAUACAAGUGUCUGGACUUGAUUUCUAGCUUUGAUCCUGACUUUACCUUCCUGCAAAGAUAGACCCCCCAGGAACAGUGGUGAUGGUUUAAGUUAUUGUUUCUGCUGCCCAAAUGAGAGACCUGGAUUGUAUUCCUGGUUCCUAGCUCUCAUACUGGCCCAGGCCAGUCCCUGCUAUUGCAGGUGUUUGGGGAGUGAACUGGUGGAUGAGAGAUCUCUCUGUUUCUCUAAAUGUCCAUCUCUUUAUCUUUACUUAUCUCUGCCUCUUAACAAAUAAAAAUCAAAUAGUCUUAACUUACAGUAAUGAGUAAAACAUACAACAUACAUAUAUAAUAUUCUAUAACAAAUAAAAUGUUUCAAUUCUGAUUAAAAUUUUGCAUGCCAGAAUAGUCAUUUAAAAUAUAUUUCAAAGUUACCAGGAAAUAAGUUAACAUAAUUGAUCUACAAUAACUUAAGAACUGUGCCUUGGAAUUUCCAUUUGCUAUUGUUCUUGACCCAUGUGCACACACAAAAACUGUUUAUAAACAUCCAUUCAAAAUCGUAUUAUGAAUGCAUGGACAUAAUGGCCAAUAGAAACCUAUGAAAGGAGUCUGAAUUAGAGUUCAGAAAAAGAUGCAUUGGAAAUCAAGCAUAAAUACCAGUGAGUGGAAGGGGACUGUGGUAAAAUUAUAUGAGAUUAAAAGAAAGACGAGCAGACUACAGUGACAGGCAAGUGAAGAAGAUUCCAGAAGAACCUAGUAACACUCACUGUGUGUGUGGUGACAGUGGGGGUGAAUCCCACAUUACCGCUGGGAAGACCACGAUACACCAAAGAUCAUGAGAAUGCCCUACGCCUGCACUGAACUGAGACAUUGCCAUCAGCAUGGGAGGGAAGGCACCCCCUGCACAGCAAAGAGCAGGGACCUGACCACCUAACUCCUGACUUUCCAAUUUCAGGGAAUGAAGUCUUCGGCAAACCUCCCAAGUUAAGGAGUCCCAACAUGGCAAGAAGAAUGCACAGCAAGUCAAACAGCUCCCUUCUCUGAAAGACACUGCUGGCCACCUCCAGGCUCUGACAGAACUCAUCUCUAUUCUUGAAUGUGACCCUUGCGCAAUAUGUUUGAGUAGUGGGAUGAUGUACAACUUUUUUUUUUAAAUCAUAUUCUCUAUAUUCAA